rnacentral:rRNA from 1 species
AUUGAACGCUGGCGGCAGGCCUAACACAUGCAAGUCGAGCGAGCGGCGGACGGGUGAGUAAUGUCUGGGAAACUGCCUGCUGGAGGGGGAUAACUCCUGGAAACGGUAGCUCAUACCGCAUACCAUCAGAUGUGCCCCUAUGGGAUUAGCUAGGAGGUGGGGUAAUGGCUCACCUAGGCGACGAUCCCUAGCUGGUCUGAGAGGAUGACCAGCCACAGUGGAACUGAGACACGGUCCAGACGCCUACGGGGGGCAGCAGUGGGGAAUAUUGCACAAUGGGCGAAAGCCUGAUACAGCCAUGCCGCGUGUGUGAAGAAGGCCUUCGGGUUGUAAAGCACUUUCAGCGGGGAGGCGUUACCCGCAGAAGAAGCACCGGCUAACUCCGUGCCAGCAGCCGCUGUAAUAC